rnacentral:misc_RNA from 1 species
UUUUCAAAAAGAAGCAAUAGGAAAAUAAAGGCUUCUGAUAAAAACAAAUUUUUAAAAAGAAAGAAAAAGUCAAUCUAACCCGUUUGCACAUAUUAGCUAGUGGCAAAGGCGCACUUUUACUGUUCCUAUCACAGAAUAUGAUUUUCUAGUGUUCUUUGACACUCUACUCCAUUGAUUCAACUAAUGUUGGCUAAAGGUCUAGAGGAUAAGCCAAAACUCCAAAAGUAAAUCAUAGUGAAGCAGUGACCUCUUGCUCAUAUUCACUAGGGCCUAUUAGAAGUUCAUUGCUUGGUUGUAUCAACUUCCUCUCCACCCUUUGUCAUAUGUUUAACUAAUUGCUCAUCUAGAAUCCUCCAGUAACUGUCUACAUCAACUAUAGAACACCUCUCACACAUCUCCUUGAAUAUUUUCUGGACCUCAACAGCUUUCCCCAUUUCGCACAACUGCUUGACGAAAAUUGAAAAGCUCUCUGGACUUAUUACAUAGUUCUUAUCAAUUGUUUCAUAUAAAACCUGUUUUGCCAUUUGCUCAUUUCCAUCCUCACAAUAUCCCAUAACUAAGGAACUGCACAUUGUUGCACCAAUGGCAAUGCCAUUACGAAGCAUGUCCUUAAGAAUCUCUUCCACAUCUUGCAUUCUACCUUUGGCCCUACAAAGGCCACCAAUCACCAUGCUGUAUGAGAUGAAAUUUGGCUUGCAACCCAUUCCUCGCAUCUGCUUCAGAAGAAAAAUUGCCAUAUCAAGCUCCCCAGACUCCAUAAGAGUCCUCAACACCACAUUGAAACUUCCAACGCUUGGAUUGAUGCCUUUAGCCUGCAUUUCCUUCAGAAGGGAAAUUGCCUUAUUUGGUAUCCUCAUUUUGCAAUACUCAUUAACAACAAUUCCAUAUGCUUUUGCAUCAGGUUUCAUUCCCUUUCUAAUGAUCUCCUUAAAAUAGUUAACAGCUUCAUCUGACCUUCCAGCAUAGCAAAGGCCCUUUAAUAUGCUCAUAUGAGUCGCAAGAUUUUCUUUCAAUCCAUUUAAUCUCAUCUGUGUCAUCAACUUCUUGGCCUUGUCAACAUUUCCUCUCAAACACAAGCCAUAAAUUAUCGCAUUGUAAGUUAACAGAUUUGGCUUGCAACACCGAAGCUUCAUCUCAUCCAUCCACUUCAUUGCCUUGUCAAACUCACCUUUUUUACAGUACCCAUCAAUAAUAGUGGUAUAAGUAACCGUAUCAGGCAAACAAUCCUGACUCUCAAGGAGUCGAUAAAAUAUAGUAAUCGCUUUGUCCAUAUCGCCUUUCUUACAAUAACCAUUAAUCAUGGUAUUAUAACUAACCACGUUUGGCUCACAGGCCAUUUCAUCAAACACCUUCCUCGCAUUCUCAAUCAUACCUGUUUUGCAGUACCCUCUAAUCAUUAUUGAAUAAGUAGACACAUCCGUCUUCACCACAGCAUCAUUCACAAUCUCGUCAAAAAAUGACUGGGCCAAGCUAAUCCGAUUAGCUGUCACCAACACAUUCAGAAUGGCAUUACAUGAAAACAAGCAGUUGCCAUUUGCAAUCGUUUUCGCUUUGUGGAACCAAAAGAUUGCACCUUUAACAUGUCCACGAUUACCAUAAGCUGUGAUAAAUUUACUAGCCAUUAAAUCAGAGAGUCUAUUGGAUUUUUGAAGGAGAGAUGAGGCAACGGAAAAGAGAGAGUGGGCGAGGAGAUGAUCGGUGAUGGCAACAUAACACUGGUGAGUAUGGGUAUAGCAGUUAGGGUUAUGAUGAGGGUUUGAUGCCCAGUUGAAGAAGAAGAGGGCAUGGUAAGGAUUGACUUGUUUGUUGAUGACUUCAAUGACUAAUUGGGGUUGUAGGUAAUGUGAGAAUUGGUUCAAAGGGGAUGGAUUGAUAUGUGAGGGGUCAGGCUUUCGUGGGUUUAUAGCUUGGAGACAGGAGGUUAUAGCAGUGGCUAGUGAGGUGACGUAAGGGAUCUGAGUAUGGCAGCUUACGGUUUUA